AAAUAUGUAGAAGCUAGAAAACAUGUAGAAAAAAGAAACGAGUGUUAAGAAGGCAUCUUAUGUGCAUAAAUCACUGCAAUUGAAGUGAAGCUGGAUUUUACAACUAAAGACAGAGGGUACUAGUAAAUGCCGCUGAGUGCUGAGUUGCGAGUUGCAAAUUGCAACAGAAAGCCAAGCACAGUUAGCCACGUGUCACAACCCAACAACAUUCCCGCCACAUUUCAAAGCUGACAUGGCUUUGAGCGUGUUGUUUGUGCCCAUCCAAUGCUUACAUUAUAGAAAGCCCAACAAAGUGGACACAGCGCUUGUAACUUACCAACAAACCUCACCUGGCACAUUGUAGCUUACUUGAACUGACACUCAGGCUUGUCCUGUCUUUUCUUCUUUUGUUUUUAUUUUCCCUCUCUUGCUCGCCAAGAAGCAGUUUUGGCCUUUUGGGUAUUUUUGUUUCUCACUGUGUAAAGAAGAGAGGGUUUUAAAGAUUCUUUUGUGUUUUUGAGGGUCUCAGUUGAGAAAGCUUUUGGGGUUGUUCAUAGUUUGCAAAGCCAAAGCUUUUGUGUGACUGCAAUUCAAGGUUAGCUGCCUUGCCUCUUGUUCCCUUCCUUUGGUUUAUACAUUUUAUUGGCUACAUUUCUUAUCUAUCUGCAUUUCCUGAUUUUUGCAUGUCAAAGUUUUCAAUUUUCAAUUUUUCUAAUCUAGGUAAAGGUUAUGGUUUUCAGUUCAUCAGUUGUACCAAUUCUUUGGAUUGGAGGUUCUUUUGUCAAAACUGGGCCUCUGGGUUUUUUGUUUUUGGCUAAAGGUUAAGUCUUUAUGUGCUUUUCUGUGAAAAUUCUUCUUUCAAGCGAUUCUGAUACCCAAAAACUUCGAACUUCCUGAAAGAAAAACAGUUAUAACAAAGCCAUCUUAAUAAUUCCCUUGAAAUCACCCUAGUUUUCACCUUCUUUCUGCUAUAAAAUUAUCUGAUCACCAUUUGACUAUAGUCAGGUUCUUCGUUUAUGAAGGGGUUUUAUGUGACAUUUGGUUUUUAUUUUCAUUUUUAAGCUUUAAUUAUGAUGUGUUUCUGGCCAUUGGGGUUUUUUGCCUUAAGGAUUCAACUUUUUGAUAAUGUUGGUUUCAAGCCUCUCUUGAAUGUCUUCAACUCAUUUUAUUCAAGAUAACAAGGUCUUUACUGAUGAAUCUGGGGUUUCCAGUAUCAGUCGUCUGGUCAUUAGUCUUGGAUUUAUUUGCUUAUCACUUUUAUAUUCCUCUUAAAAGUUCUUAUUGUUUCAAAAAAAAAAAAUUGACACCGAAUGCCAUGUUUAGACUGCUUUAAUUUCACCCAGCUUUUUCUUAAUUCUCGUGAUUGUACAUGACUUAGCUCUAUGUUUAUAUAGUUUUAGUCUUCAAUUCUAAUGAUGAAGGCUUCUAAUGUGAAAAAAUAGAUAAAUAAGUAGAGUGUAGGUACCUGUGUGUCAUGAUCAAGUUCAUCUUUUUGUUCAUAAAAAGGUAUCUUUUUCCCUUAAAAAAAACUAGUAUCUUUUUUACCAGACCACAAAGGCAAAGGUUUCAAGCUUUUAAUCAGAGUCAUCUUCUCUGAGCUAUCUUGUGUGUCUCUUCUUUUUCUUCUUGAAUUCUUACACCUCAAUUGUUAUUGCUCAAGCAAUUUUACACAUUCAAACUACUAACUGUCAUCAGACACAAGCUCCCAAGUAGCAUCCUGCAAAUUUGACAAGCAAAGAGUUCCAAAACUUCAAUGCCUUCUACAGUAGGGUUUAGAGAGGUUGAAGAGAAUAAUGGACUAGCAACACACUAUGCAAUUUGACAAACCUUUUCCCUGACCAUUUAAAAUGUUGUGAUGAUUAUUGGACCUUCAGGAGUUCCACUUGACUUAAACUCAGAAAUCUUAAGAACUUUACUCUUAAUAGGCUUGAUGUGACUGCUUCUGUUUCACUGUUUCUACCUGCUUAACUGGUGUGUUCUCAUCCAACAAACUUCAGAGAAUUAGUCCAGCCUAAUGGAAUCCCUGGAGUUUGAUGGUUGUGAAUUUGAUGAACUAGGUGAUGAUACCACAUAAAAUGUUCUGUGUUGAGUUUUAGGGAAUUUCUUGAAUCAUUUCAAGUUUAAUACAUAUUGCUUAAUUUCUAUUCAAUGCGUGGGCAUUUCAAUACUCAACCAUCUAAAUUAUGAGCAUUGCAAAAUAUUUUCCAUGCUUCAUUAAAGCUUUAGCCGGAAGCUGUUCUGCAUAGGGCCUAAAACAAUUCCAUUUCAUCCAUUGCUACACCUGUAAGAAUAUCAGCGACAGCAUAUAUCUCCUAUUAACAUGUAUAACUCAAUAUAAACACUUACAAAAACUUCUUUUGGAAAUUUUUGAGAUCAAGGAGCAUCCCUUAUAACUUAGGUCCUCUCUGCAGCCAUUUUACUUGUAGCCUCUAAGACUUUGCUUAAUCCAUCAUACCUAGGGUCCUUUCUUCACUGCCAUAGGGUUGAGAAAAAUUAAACGUGUGUGUAGUUCAAUUAUUUUCAAUUUCUGUCAGGUCAGUUAUGGAUGGUUGAUGGUUCCUCAUGACUAAUACAAGGCUCAUUUCAGAAAGAACUCUUACUCUGGGCAAUUGUCUUGAGGGAAUGAAUAAUUUUGCAUUUAACUAGAAACCCUUGUAAUUUGAUUGACAAAUAUUCUAGAAUUCCAAGUCAUGCAAGAGGUCUGGGUUGAGGAGAAGUUCUUGCAACACUAAAUAACUUAAAUAAGCAUUUAUGGCUGUGGAUGAGAUCAAGAGUUUAAACAUGUUGUAUGUUACUUUGAGUUGGGACUAUCUUCUAAAUUCAUUAUUUGGUACCCUUCAUUUUCCUUCUGGUUUCCUUUCUGAAUACGUGUCAACAACACUUCAAUUUUGUAAGUUUUCAGGUUUGAUAUUCUGUUUCUCAAGAUGGCUGAUAAGGUAGCAGAAAGGGCCAAUAAGAAAAUAUAUGGACUUGUGUAUUCUAGGGCAAGCACUGGCAGAGGCAAACCAAAUGAGAUAGCCGGGGAUGAUGACCUAAUUAUAGGGAGUCUGCCGAAAGAAAUGAUGAUGAAGCUUGUUAGUGGGAGAUCUAACAGUGUUAGAUACAGAGCAAAAGAAAGCUUGACAGAAAAUUGUAUUGAAAAUUUUAAGGGAAAAGAAAGUACAGAAAUGAUAACUAUGAAAGGUAAGUCCAAGGCAGAGUGCUCUAAGCGGGAGGAGAGUCAGACUGGUGGAGGGGUUCCCAUUGGCAAUGGACAGGUAGAGGUAGACAACACUGUCCAGAAAGAGGACAACAGGAACGUAGUCACUCCAAUGAAGCAGAAGAGGGGUGCAGAUGGAGAAAUAGUUCGUGCAUAUUUCUCAUCUUCAGAGAAAAGUUUGUCUAGGCUUCGUCCUAGGAAAGAGGUACCUGCUUUUCGCAUGGUUAAUCUGGAGGAGAGUGACAAUGAAUUUGUAGUUGGUAAAAGAGUCAAGGUCUACUGGUCAGGUUCACGCAGAUGGUUCAUAGGACGCAUUGUUGCUUUUGAUAACAAGAAUAGGCUGCAUAGGAUUCUGUAUGAAGAUGGUGAUGAAGAGGUGUUGGACUUAAGGAAAGAACGUUUUGAACUUGAGGUAAUACCAACUGACUGUUUCAAGUUGAAAAGUGAACCCCAUUCUGCUGGAAAAGCUGAUGGAUUGGAUAGUGGCAAUGUUAGAGAAGCUGUGAUGAAACAGAACUCAACAGAUCUUACUAGUGCAAAAUCAAUGACAAAGAGUUCAGAGUCCAAGCAGAAAAAAGAAGCAAAGAAAGAGGGCCAAAGGACAAGCCGCAAAACGUACAGGAAGGGCACUGAAGCUACUUUGGAGGAUUUGGUCUCUAAUGUGGCUGUGAUCCCAGAGAAAGUUGAUGAACUAGUAACUAAUAAGGCCAGUGACAUGGAAAAACCUGGUCAGGCAAGUCCUGAAGAAGAUGAAUCUAAUUUCAUUUCAGAAGUUGUCAAAGAAGCUACUGAGGAGUUUGAAGCAGAAACAACUGUAGGUAAGUCUCAUUCUGAGUUCUGGAGCGUGGGAUCGGACAACAGUAGGAUUAAAGAAAGUGGGAAAGCUGUGGAAGAUGACUCCUUAAAGAUCAGCAUCGCUGAAUUAGCAAAAAAGCCAAAGGGUUCAAGGAAAAGACUUAUGCCAAGAGCUAAAAGAAUGAGGACCAAUAAAGCUUUAAGUAGAGAAUUUGGCAAUGUUGAGGAGAAGCUGGAGGCAGAUAUGAAGUCUCACGUUCAGUGUGAUGAAGUAAAGACCACAGAAAUGGAUAUUGAUAUCAACAUUGAGGCAAUGGAAGUUAAUCUUCAGAACAUUAGCAGUGAAACACUUGGAAAGAAAGCAAGUGAAGGAGAUGAAACAUCAAAUGAAGCUUCAUUUACUACACUGGAUCUCACUUCAAAGGACAAAACUGCUAAAGGAUCUGGUGAUGCCAGUAGAAAUGCUGCUAAUGAGGUGGAAAACCUGACAAAGACAGAAAAUAGAACAGCUGAACAAGCUGUCAUUCCUGGUCUGCUCUUAAACCCUCAUGAUGUCAAAGAUGAGAGGGAGGUCCUGGCUGCUCAUCAAAUGGAAUUGGCUGCUUCCAUUAACAAGGGUGAAGAUGAAUUAAUAAGUGGGAUCACCAGUGUUCAAAGAUUUGAACAUAUUGACAGCAUGAAUACUAACCGUGAGACAGAAUCUAUCCUGGAAGCUGAGAGCAUGAAGCCCUGUGAAUCAUCUAACUGUCUGCAGCCUGUUGUAAGUCCAGAAGAACCAAAGCCAUAUGUUUUGCAGGGAAAAGUCAAAUUGGAGAAUAGUGAAUCUGAUAAAGAAUCCAAAGAAGGCAUGGACUUCAUCAGUGUGAAAAAUGAAAGCUAUUCUAGCAAGGAAAGCCAAAGCAAUAAUGGUGCUGCAAGCUGAAGUAGUCCUGGAAAAUCUGCAGUUUAAACAAAGGAUUGCUAAUGAUUUCCCUAGUAUCUUGACCGCAGGUAAAUAUAUAUUGACAGACAUAUGAAGGAGUUUUUGGAUGCCAUGAACCCUGGAUUAUCAAGAUUCAGCAAUGUUGGCAAGCCAGCAACUUCUCAUGGAAAUAGGAGGCUUAGCUGAGAUGUGCAUAGAGAUGGUGACUUGAUAGGGAGACAAAGAAACGGGUAGGCUAACAUGGCAAUUCUGAAGUUAGACACAGAAAUGGGUAGAACAACAAGACAAUACCAAAGUCGAGUAGCUUCUGGGGAAAAAAAUAUUGUCAUUUUUGUCUGUUGGAGAAAAGAUGAAACCAUACUAUCUUCACCAGUCAUUACCUGGUGCAUGUUCUAUAUUAACUAUGUUAUUUCAUGAAUGAGGUUUAUAUGUUGAAUGAUUUCAGCUCUCUUAUUACCCAUGACCUCUGUUGGUAUCUUGUUACCUGCAGUUGGCUUUGAGUAAUUAGAUGUAAUGGGUGAAUGGCUAUUCUCUCCAAAGCUGUUAUAACAAUUAUUGAUAGAUGUUUCUGAAACGUUUGAUCUGAUGGGUUAAUGGCAAUUCUCUCAGCAGCCGUUAGCCUGCUAAAAUCA